rnacentral:rRNA from 1 species
CAUGUCUUUUUGAUAAUAAUUUAAAGUCUGAUCUGCUCAUGAUUACUUAAAUAGCCGCAGUAUUUUAACUGUGCAAAGGUAGCAUAAUAAUUAGUUUCUUAAUUAGGGGCUUGUAUGAAUGAUUGGACGAGAAAAUUUCUGUCUUAGUUUAAAAGGUUUUUGAAUUUUAUUUCUAAGUUAAAAAGCUUAGAUUUUUUUAAAAGACGAGAAGACCCUUUAGAGUUUUAUAUUUUUAAUUUAAUAAAUUCUAGAAUAUUAGUUUAAAUUAAAAAUAUUUGGUUGGGGUGAUUUGGAGAUUAAUAUAAUUCUUUAACUUUUUAUAUUGAUGAUUUUUAAAUGAUUUAAGUAGUUUUUUAAAUUUAGAUUAAAUUACCUAAGGGAUAACAGCGUAAUUUUUCUUAAGAGUUCUAAUUUAAAGAAAAUUUUGCGACCUCGAUGUUGGAUUAAAAUUAAUUUUUGGCGCAAUAGCUUAAGGAUUAGGUCUGUUCGACCUUUAAAAUUUUACAUGAUCUGAGUUUAGACCGGCGUAAGCCAGGUCGGAUUCUAUCUUUAUUACUUAUUGAUUGUUUUAGUACGAAAGGACCAUACAAUUAUUAUAUAUUAA